GUCCACGCCGUAAACGAUGGGCGCUAGGUGUGGGCGGUGUCGACUCCGUCCGUGCCGAAGCUAACGCAUUAAGCGCCCCGCCUGGGGAGUACGGCCGCAAGGCUAAAACUCAAAGGAAUUGACGGGGGCCCGCACAAGCAGCGGAGCAUGUGGUUUAAUUCGACGCAACGCGAAGAACCUUACCAGGGCUUGACAUGCACGAGAAAAUCGUGGAAACACGAUCCCCCGCAAGGGCUCGUGCACAGGUGGUGCAUGGCUGUCGU
rnacentral:rRNA from 1 species